AUUGAACGCUGGCGGCAGGCCUAACACAUGCAAGUCGAGCGGAUGAAGGGAGCUUGCUCCUGGAUUCAGCGGCGGACGGGUGAGUAAUGCCUAGGAAUCUGCCUGGUAGUGGGGGAUAACGUCCGGAAACGGGCGCUAAUACCGCAUACGUCCUGAGGGAGAAAGUGGGGGAUCUUCGGACCUCACGCUAUCAGAUGAGCCUAGGUCGGAUUAGCUAGUUGGUGGGGUAACGGCCUACCAAGGCGACGAUCCGUAACUGGUCUGAGAGGAUGAUCAGUCACACUGGAACUGAGACACGGACCAGACUCCUACGGGAGGCAGCAGUGGGGAAUAUUGGACAAUGGGCGAAAGCCUGAUCCAGCCAUGCCGCGUGUGUGAAGAAGGUCUUCGGAUUGUAAAGCACUUUAAGUUGGGAGGAAGGGCAGUAAGUUAAUACCUUGCUGUUUUGACGUUACCAACAGAAUAAGCACCGGCUAACUUCGUG
rnacentral:rRNA from 1 species